rnacentral:rRNA from 1 species
GACGAACGCUGGCGGCGGGCUUAACACAUGCAAGUCGAACGGAAAGGCCCCUUUGGGGGUACUCGAGUGGCGAACGGGGGAGUAACACGUGAGUAACCUGCCCUUGACUUCGGGAUAACUUCAGUAAACUGGGGCUAAUACCGGAUAGGAAUCCUUGCUGCAUGGGGGGGGUUGGAAAGCUUCUGCGGUUUUGGAUGGACUCGCGGCUUAUCAGCGUGUUGGUGGGGUAGUGGCUUACCAAGCCUUUGACGGGUAGCCGGACUGAGAGGGCGACCGGCCACAUUGGCACUGAGGUGAGGCCCAGAUGCCGAAGGGAGGCAGAAGUGGGGAAGAUUGCACAAUGGGCGGCGGCCUGAUCAAGAAACGCCGCGGGCGGGAUGACGCUCUUCGGGUUGUAGAACGCUUUCAGCAGGGGCGCAGCUUGUGGUGACGGUACCUGAAGAAGAAGCACCGGCUAACUACGUG